rnacentral:tRNA from 1 species
GGUUUGAUGGUCUAGUGUAUGUCAAAUCUUGAUAAAAGAUGCGCAUCCCCUCAGCUGCGAGAGGUCCCGGGUUCAAUCCCCGGUCAAACCC